GGAACACCUUGAGAGAGGCGCAGACGAGCCGCCGCGGAGCCGCCGGACACCGCAGCUGUGCGCGGGGGCCUCUGUGGCGCAUGUGGACGGGCGAGCCAACGCACCGCAGGAAUGUGUGCAGAUCAGAGGCAAACGCACAUGCUCGGGCUUUUACUAUGUAUGUGGUGCUCGAUCGUUUUCAAGUCCUCGGGCAGUGUAGUAGAGACUACGGGGUCACUUUGCUGUGCCGCUGUCGGAAACCUAUAAUUGGAAACGAGCCAGUGACGCGCUGAAAAUAACCAGGUUAGCACUUAGUACCGGUCCAUUUUGGGGAGGGCCCAACACGAGGGCGCAGCACCAUAUAUCAGCUCUUUCCAGCUGUUUGGGAAUAUCCUGCUCUAGAAAAGCUGCAGCACGGCGGCAGCAGCAGCGGCGCAAGCAGGGUGCUUUUUCUCCCGCCCCCCCUUCCAGAAUGGAUAUUGGGUGAGUGACUGGGUGCGCACGGGGGGAUCUCUUGUUGGGAAACGCAGAAGCUCUCUCUCCCUCUCUCUUUUUUUUCUUGAAGGGAGGGAGGGCGGGAGGGGAGGUGGGAGACUGGCACAAGGCUCGACACUGUUGCGUCUGCAUGUUUUUUCUCCUUGGACAGACAGGAAAAAAGAUGGACCAGGGGGACUGUCCGACUUAUUCCACAAGAGAGUUCCCGGCCCCCACCCCCCCAAAAGGAUAAUCUUGCUCAAUUUGGGAUGCGUGCAACACCAAGUGAUCACAUAUUACUUGGGCGGCGGUGGUGCUGGUGGUGGAUGGACGGUGAAGUUCAACUUCGCAUGCAGACGCGAUCUCCUCCAGGCAGCCAGACAAACCCACCAGACAGUCGGCGCGUAUUACGUGAAGAGGUCUCCAUAUGGGCUACGGGAUGCGAACACCUGCCCGGUACGCAGGUAACUACAAUCCGACGGUGUCGCCUACUUCUUCGAACACCGACAGGCAGCAGAUCAGCAGGAAGUGAAGAAGCAUUUGAACCAGAAAACGGCACAGUCUCUCUGAACCUAUUGUGGAGCUAACAUGGCUGCCAGCAAUAAGACAUGAUGACAUUAUCCUGCUUUCUUGCUGGAGGCCUCCCAGUAAGGAGUUCUUGUGAACACAUCUUCCGAGUGACAUGGAGACGGGCCUGCAGCCACCAGCGGAGCUGAGCCGAGCCGCUUUAGAGCCCUGCUGAGACCUGCCAGGCCCACAGCUUUCCCUGCCAGGGGCCUCGCUCGAAGUCAAAGUGAGUUACAACCCAUGCUCUUGACACACACAUGCUAAUGCAGAAGCAAGCACCCAGUAUGUAGGCAUGCAGGCGCACGCACAGGUGAAAUACAUAGAGGAAUAUAUGUGUGCAACCAUAAACCAGUACAGAGGCAAAGAAAUAACUCUGUUCGUGCAAAUAUAUGCACACUCAUACAUAAUGAUACCCCUCUAAAAGAGAUUGUAGCUCCACUGGACCACUAGAUAGACUACAUUUACAUACAUGCAAUCACACACAAUCAUAGAUUUGGUAUUUGCAGCCUAAAUAAAUGAUAUCCCUGCUUCUACCCAUGCAGUAAAGUGAGCAUGUCGUCCAACAGGGGCUCUAUCUGUCAGGGGUAGUUUGAGAUCAAGGUCCAGCAGCUGCUGGAUCAGCUGGAUUGAUCUGUCUGGGUAAACAUGAGGACUGAAAAUGAGCGUGUUUGUGAUUAAAGGCUUAACAGGAAGUGUGUGUGUGUGACAGUGAGAGAGAGAGGGAGCUUCAGUAUGCUGUUUAUACCCUGUACAAAAGAGAGCACUGUGUAUUACCUCCAUGCAUAUGUCAUAUACAUGUGUGUGUGUGUUAUAUUGUGCUUAUAUCCAGCUCCAUUUAAAAAAAAUGUUUGGAUACUGCUGGAGUCAAUUUAUAGCAACAUCAUCCUUAUCUUAUACUGGGCAUUACUGGUGCAGCCCCUUAGUUCAUCCUCCUUUCUUCUGAUUGGCUGCCCCUCGUUAAUAGAAGUCAGUGGGCGGGGGUUCUGUGCUCACAAGCCAGAGCUAUGUACCAUUAACUGGUAGCGACAGAUUGCUGCCCCUCACUGAGCCUGGUUCUGACAGGGGUUUCUUCCUGUUAAAUGGGAGUUUUUCCUUCCCACUGUUGCCAAAUGCUUGUUCAAAGGUUAAUGUUUGAAUAUUGGGAUUUUCUCUGUUUUCUGGCCUUUACUUUACAAUACAUCGUGCUUCGAGCCGACGAAUGUGAUAUGGCAAGUUAAUUUACGCAACUGAACUGAAUUAAGAAAACCUCUCAAGCCAUUGUAACACAUUUUUGACAGAAAAUCAGGAAACUCAUAUUGGCCCUGGUUAAUGUUUUUCAUCGUGACUCACCUAAAAAGAGACAGUCUUCCAGAAAAUGGUUACCAAAAGUAUUUUCCUAACCAUAAUCACGUAGUUUUGGUGCCUAAGCAUAACAAAACUGCAAGCGAAAUUAAAAAAACAACUUAAAGUUGUGACUCAAGUUGUGACUCAACCUUUUCUGAGUUGUCACCAGAUAUCCAAAAUUAUACUGCGAAUUAGUGGAGACAUCAACGCCCCCCCCUCCAAACAAAGCGAAAAACAUGGCACAAAUCAGAUAGGUGGAAUACUCAUGGCCAUUUUUUAGAUACUGAGCAAAUGGACGAGAAUUUACUUAAAAUGUGGUUGUAGCCACAUUAAUUAUCUUGCAAAGUGCCUUUAGAUACAGAAUAAAUGUGUCAGUCCCUCUGCUCAUUACAGCCAAGCCGUAUCUGAAAAGACCCUAUUAAGCUCUCACAUGAGGGCUGACCAACAGUUUCAUGCUGGCUAUAUAUGAAUGUAUCUCACAGCAAUAAUAUAUAGCGAGUGCAUGCGUAGCUAUAUGGUUUGUGUCUAAUCCCAGGAAUGUUGAUGUGGUCCAGAGUUUAAUAAAUGGAGGCGUGGGUGGGGAGUAAGAGUCCCCUGGAGCAGAGUUAAGGUCUUAAUGUACUAAAAAGCCUUGACCCAGACCAUAUACACCCACUCACAGGGACACAGCAUCUUCUCUCCAGUCCAGCACAUUCUUUCAUACUUUGGCUACGCAGCAAAGAAAUAUGCACUUGGACAUACACGGAGAUAUGCAAGCACAACAUGGACGAUAUGACCUUAAACAAUAAACAUGCGCAAAAUGUACCGAGUGGCUCAAACACACACACACACACACACACACACACACACACGAACACAUCCUUGUUGACUUGUGUUGGUCGUUAUUCAAUGAGGAGCACAUGACUUAAAUCGGGUGUGGUGCAUGACAUCUUAUCGAACAAAAGCGUCCCACAGAGAGAGCUGAUGGGGGAGACGAUCCCUCCCCGCUUGUCCUGUCUGUUGGGAGUCAUGAGGUCUCCAUCUCGUUUGCCACGCUGUGUCUCGUGGUUCAAAGUCCAUAAAAUGUUCAAGUUAAAAAAAAAAUCCCCUGCUUUUAAAACUUUCAGCUGCGGUGGUGUGUUGUCAAUAAAUCAGCUGCUUUCCCUGAGGAUAGCAACGUUAUCUCCGGGAGGGAGAGGAAGUGCAAAACACUGCAUGUUUUUCAAGAAUGAAGCCUUUGAAUUUCUUGUUGUGUCCUAUAAAUGUCUCACCUUGAGGGUCUGAUGUCUCGCAGUGAGAAUGGAGGGCUUGUAUUCUACACAUUCAACCCGUCGCUUCUACAUGCUUCUGCAGUCAUGCAGAAAUAAACUCAAGUAUGUUGAUCACAGAAGCUUUAUUGUGUUUUGUCUCAUUAACGAUCUCUUUUAAGUGUCUUGCUGAUAAACUUGUCAUUUAACUGUCAAAAUCAUGACGGCUACCUCCAUGUUAGAUCUUACAGGGAAUAUUUCUUCAUUUAAGAGAUAUGCCAGUUUCUCAAAUGCAUUGUAGCAUCGAACUUUUCUAACAUUAACCAGCGGAGCUGAAUAUUAGAAUGGAAAUAUCCAUAUCAGUUGGACCAGACAUUACCCAGGCAGCCUCCUUGUAGAAAGUAAAGUCCAAAUGAACACAUGUGUGAUUCACAGAGUGAGUUUCCAUCACGUCCUGCCUCCUGCGCAGUCUAUCCAGUCGCCACUCUUCGGCCAAACGUAAACUGCACAAUGCAUUUCAAGUGUCACUAUGCAUCUGUCACAUGUGAGAAAAGCCAACUGUACAAAGUGCAGACCUGAUUCUCUCAACAUUAUCUGGAAUUUAUGUGUAAAACUUGCUAUAGUCUCAUCAACCAAAGUUGCGCGUCACCAUAUAUUAGCUUCAGUGAUAAGAUUAUUUAUCACAACAAAUCUUUGCAACUGUUGCAACUGUUUUGGAGUCCAGUAAGGUUAAUACAGGGGAAAUACUGCGAGUUGCAUACAAAAGCAGGUUGUUCAAGUGCUUCUGUGAGUGUUAAAAUGGCUAAAAAAAAUCUGAAUUCCACAAUGACAAGAGAAGUGAAAAGAUGAUUCUCAAGCUUACUCCUGAACAUUCCCCUUCUCUUUCUAUCUAGCUGAAAAAAGCUUGAAAAGUGUGAGCAAACUGGUGAAAUCAAGCUGAGCAGAAAGGGGUAAACAGGACAUAUGUGUGCAUGUGUCUGUAUAAUCCCAUCACAAGAUAGUGUCGUUGAGAGCCAUUGCCCCGAGGCAGCUGGCCAUAGUCCGUCAAGGGAACUUUAAAUUAGAGUAAUGCUCACUAACACAAGGUUAGACAGUUCAUCUGCUGGAGAGAUAUGAAAAGGGGGGAUUGUCUGGUGCUGUGCUGAUGGCCCAGAGAAAAUAGAGUGAAGAAGUUUUGAAUCCCAGGCCUAUACGUGGACAUGGCUAAGUGUAGAUUGAAUUGAAGAACUGGAGGAUGAAUUGAGGCAGAUGCAGACAGCGUUGCAGAGACUGAGUCCUUUGAUAAUUGAUAAUGGCCUUGACAAAUGUAAGACAAUGUAAUAUUAAAAAAAGUGAAGUAAAAUAAAGUUUGUCAAAUGAUUUGUUUCUGGUUGUGUAAAAUGCUGAAUAAAGUUUGUUUAACACUAAAAUUAACUGUCUCUUUGUCCAUGUGCACAGAAUAUUUACUGUAUAACGUUUAAUUUAAAUGAUCAACAGUGUUAAUGUAUUAAAUGUCCCGACACGGCUGGGCACAGUUGCUUUCGGCAGACGAUACCCAAACAGGAGUAAACAGUGUAUUUUUUACGGACUACUUUAACCUGUGGAAUAAUACAAAUUUGGUGCUCUGACAUUGUACAUGUGGGACCAAUUAAAAAUAAACUACAGUGAACUGCACUGAACAUCGUCAACCUUACAAGUAUAAAAAUGCAAAAGGCACAUCUGAGGGAACACAUGUGCAUUUUUACGUGCAGGAUAACUUCA
ensembl:lncRNA